UCAAAGUUUCCAUCUCUUGAUAACUGUUCCCUCAAUGCCUUUCUCUCGUCUAGACGCCCAUCAUAAAGAACAGCUUUAAUCCUGGACUCAUCCUCAGGAACCCAUGUUGAGAAUUCAUUGAUCCAAUUGGGUAGUACAGCCUUUGGAGCCACUAUCAAGUGCGGCCCACAGACACCUUUUUUCUCCUUCAGAUAAGCAAUCAAUGAAAUGGUUUGUAUUGUCUUCCCCAAUCCCAUCUCAUCAGCUAAAAUUCCAUUUAAAUUGUUGUUGAACAAAGA
rnacentral:misc_RNA from 1 species